GCAAAGGCACGUUCUGAGUCAACCACAGCCCUUAAGCAGAAAAAAAAUCUUUGCAGAAAACUUCCUGUUUUCUGACACUUUCCCACUUUCGACAGAAGCGUUUUAUGCUUUUAUGUUUUUUUAACUUAUAGCUCGACUCAAUCACUUAAGUCAUGUUCUGUAUGGUCUGAUUCCUAAACAUUAUUUGUGUGUAAAAGUUGUGGCAGAGUUUGUGAUGUUCGAACAGGGUGAGGUAGUAGGUUGUGUGGUUUCGGGGUAGUGAUUUUGCCCGAUCAGAAGAUAACUAUACAACAUACUGCCUUCCCUGAAGGGCAGCAAUACUUCACCGUACAGACAACAGAACCUGGAAGGAGCUCAGCCAAUCACAGCGUCUCAAGUCACCAGCAGGUAAACCCAGUUCUCCUCCAAAUAUGAAUAAAAAAUAAGAUGAAGAAUCUGUUUGUCUUUGACUUUUUUGUACACAGUAUAUAUGUUUUAGACUUUGGGACUAUUUGCAGUUGAAUGACAGCAUUGGUGUAACUAUGUUUCCAAAGCUUUGCGAUCCCUUUCUACACGCAGUAAAGGUUUAAACAAUGUAAAGACUUCUAGUGAAUCUUCAAUUGAUCCUGACCAGUUAACCAGCAUUUAUCAAACGUAACACAACAUUUUUAUUGCCGCCCGUUGAAUAGUUUAGAAAUGUUUGGAAACAUCUCUAAAAACUAAAAAACAGACCUGACCACCUUCGUGGGAUCCGGGGGUCCGCCCUGAGCAGAGCAGAUGGACAGAGGAUCUGUGGCCUAAUCUCACCUCCUGCACUGCAGCAUGAUUCAUAUGGCAACAGAUGACGGGUGCAGUAGCUCUCUGGCCAACGGCACACACACACACACACACACACACACACACACACACACACACACACACUGAUGACGAGGUGAAUACCAGCCGGUAUCCGACCAGCUCGCCCUCAGGUGGGCCUUACUGUCUGCUGCUGCAGCUCCGUAUCUCGUAUCAAGGUCACUCACGGUGAGACCCCUCGAUCUUCACCACCAGUGAUCAACUGUGUGUCAAAGUGAACGUCUUAACAUGCAACAAUAAAUACGAUUCCACUGUGCACUGUCUCCCAGUCUUUGGGUACGCAGACAAGUAUUAGUAUUAUUACACCACACAUGCUGAACCGGUGAGAAGGGUUAUAUCACAGAACAUCAGUGGAGCAGCAAAAGAAGAAUACCAAUGUACUGUAUCCUCUCUGUGUGCAACACUGUUGGAUGUGUGUGUGUGUGUGUGUGUGUGUGUGUGGGCUGCACUCACUGUAGCCGUCCCCUGCCAGCCACCAUAUUGAAUUGGUUUGAGCCUUGGCCCUGGUGAUAGUGCUGAAUACUAAAGCCGGGUGGGACAAUGGCUCUGUGUGCAUCCCGUCUCUGGGGUUGCACCACCCGUCAUCUCCUCCCGCUUCACCGACAACGCUGCGACGACCAUCUGGUACAUUCUUCUCCUGUGAGAAAAGGAACUAAUGAAAAGAUCUCAAGAGUCCAUCGGAAACAUUUCAGUCCAGAAUUCAAUAAUAUACUAUUAUAUACUAUUCUAUGCUUUUGCUGCCCUUCAUAUGAUGUCAUGGCUGUAUAAAAGUGUUAUCGAUCAAAUGUAAGUGGAGCGGGUUGAAGGCUCUGAGUGGGCGGGACCCUCGAAUAAACCACUCAGCAGAGUGCAUUUGCUGGAAGGAAGAAAAGCUAUUCCUGUGUCUAUGUAGAAAGAGCCAGCUUAAUCUGUGUAAUGGUGAUUAAAAAAAAUAUAUAUAUUAUUCCGGCUGAAAUGUAGGGCAUGGAAAUAAAAUGAUGCGUCUCAUUUGCUCAAGUUUUCUUGUUUCUCAUUUUUUAUAUUUAUAUUUUCUGCACAAACUAUUUUGAUAUAAUCGCUCACCAACAUAAAUCCCAAAACAGGAGUUACAGGGCCACAGUGGAUGUGGCAAAAGUGCCACCUAGUGGAUGCUCAUUCAACAUUCUUCAAAUACAGAAUGUUUGCACCCAAUUUGAAACUCUUCUUUCUCCACAAUGUCAUUUUACCAAGUUCUUUCUGCCUGCUCUUACAGCUAUAACUAACAAUACACCACAUAUCUGUCACAAUUACCCCAAAGUCAUCAAAUGUCGUUUUGAAACGUCCAAAUUCCAGAAAAUAUUAAUAAUAAUAUAAAGAAAAUUAUGAAGGGUCUCCAUGAAUCGAUAGUUUGGGCCUUUCUCCCUAAAAAUACAAUAAUUCAAUAAUCUAAAUAGUUGCUGAUUUAUUUUUCCCACUAAAUUGGGCCAUUUUUUCCCCGAUUGGAAGAGUCCGCUUACAGCGUGUUAGUGUUUGUGUGGCCGUUCCCAGACAGCGGGUGGGAGCAGAGGAUCCGGUCUCCACAUUGACCCACUUCCAGAAUGUUAGCGGGUCAUCAUGUCAACCAAAGAACAUCAUGUCUUCAAGGCCCCCCCUCCCUACAGGAAAAAAGAGAUGUAUUGUAUAAAGAGCAAACACUUGAUAUGGGCUGUUGCAGAUACUGAUGUCAUGGUGAUGCUGCUCAAACUUUUAAUUGACCAUAUGUCGGUUCCAACUAAAUCUACCAGUGACAUGAAUUCAUGCUCAUAUUCAUAGUCAUUGCGUAUCCCAUAUUUUCCAUCUACAAUAUUUGCACAAUUAUGUCAUACCUUGUCAUUCAUAUUUACAACCCUACUGCUUAAUGUACUUACUGCUCCAUGUAUAUUUCAAACUGUACAUUUAUUCAUAUAUACUCUAUACUGCACUUUAUCUGCUCUCUUGCACUUCUGGUUGGAUGCUCAACUGCAUUUUGUUGUGUCAGUACCUGUGCAAUGACAAUAAAGAUCUAAUCUGAUCUAAUAAAGGUGAACAAAGGUAAAUCCCCCACUAAACACAACUCCUGGGACACGCCCCAUUUUAUCAGCAUGAAUCCCCUCAGCGAUUUCCUGCUUCCUAGUCUGUUUUAUCUCAUCCACGUCCAGUUGAGGGACAGACAUGGG
ensembl:lncRNA